rnacentral:lncRNA from 1 species
AACAUUAUUGUAAAUAACAACUUAAUUUUUAAAAAAUAAAAAAAAUAAAAAAAAAUCUCGACUCUUUUCUUUGCAAGCAGUGCUUCUAUUAUAUUCUGCUCUCUAUAGCUAUAUUUUAGCCACGAGCCCUUCAGCAUCCUCAUCAGAGACCUACAUUCAUUUAAAAUAGCAACGUUAGGAUUAUCAAGAAAUUUGUACGCCUACAUACCACACAAAUUUCUCCAUGUUCUGCUCUUUAUAGCUAUAUUUAAGCCACGGGCCCUUCAGCCUCCGCAGUAAAGACCUACAUUAAUUCAAAAUUGCAGCGUUAGGGUUAUCAAGAAAUUUGUAUGCUUACAUACCACACGAAUUUCUCCACGUUUUGCUCUUUAUAGCUAUAUUUAAGCCACGGGUCCUUCAGCCUCCGCAGUAAAGACCUACAUUAAUUUAAAAUUGCAGCGUUAGGGUUAUCAAGAAAUUUGUAUGCUUACAUACCACACGAAUUUCUCCACGUUUUGCUCUCUAUAGCUAUAUUUAAGCCACGGGCCCUUCAGCCUCCGCAUCAAAGACCUACAUUCAUUUAAAAUAGCAUCGUUAGGGUUAUCAAGAUAUUUGUACGCCUACAUACCACACAAAUUUCUCCAUGUUCUGCUCUCUAUAGCUAUAUUUUAGCCACGGGCCCUUCAGCCUCGGCAUCAAAGACCUAUAUUCAUUUAAAAUAGCAUCGUUGGGGUUAUCAAGAAAUUUGUACACUUAAAUACCACACAAAUUUCUCCAUGUUCUGCUCUCUAUAGCUAUAUUUUAGCCACGGACCCUUCAGCCUCUGCAUCAAAAACCUACAUUAAUUUUAAAUAGUAUCGUUAGGGUUAUCAAGAAAUUUGUACGCUCACAUAUUGCGGUAUAAAGAAAUACGAUUUAAUUACGUAUUAGGUAAAAAGAUAGUCUGGUGCACUAAAGCUCCCUCUAUGCGCAGGGACCGGAGAAGGGCCCCACCACGAGUGUAUUAUAUGCAGACUUACCUUGCAUUUUUUUGUCCGAAGCUGUUUCCAAGGCUUGACAACCCGUGACCUCCUGAUCACAUGACAACAACUUUACCAGUUACUCCACGACUCUCCUUUAAUAAGAACUUAUUUAAGGUACUUUAUUAACUAAGAAAUAUCAUCAAAUUAACCAAAAGUAGUAAUAAUCAACAACUAUAAUCACAUAAAAUUAAUCACAGUCCAAAGAUAAACUCAC